rnacentral:rRNA from 1 species
CUACACAUGCAGUCGAACGAACUCUUCGGAGUUAGUGGCGGACGGGUGAGUAACACGUGGGAACGUGCCCUUUGGUACGGAAUAACUCAGGGAAACUUGAGCUAAUACCGUAUGUGCCCUUCGGGGGAAAGAUUUAUCGCCAUUGGAGCGGCCCGCGUCUGAUUAGCUAGUUGGUGGUGUAAUGGACCACCAAGGCGACGAUCAGUAGCUGGUCUGAGAGGAUGAUCAGCCACAUUGGGACUGAGACACGGCCCAAACUCCUACGGGAGGCAGCAGUGGGGAAUCUUGCGCAAUGGGCGAAAGCCUGACGCAGCCAUGCCGCGUGAAUGAUGAAGGUCUUAGGAUUGUAAAAUUCUUUCACCGGGGACGAUAAUGACGGUACCCGGAGAAGAAGCCCCGGCUAACUUCGUGCCAGCAGCCGCGGUAAUACGAAGGGGGCUAGCGUUGCUCGGAAUUACUGGGCGUAAAGGGAGCGUAGGCGGACAUUUAAGUCAGGGGUGAAAUCCCGGGGCUCAACCUCGGAAUUGCCUUUGAUACUGGGUGUCUUGAGUAUGAGAGAGGUGUGUGGAACU